UGGGUAGCCUCCUAACUGUGCCUCUAGGCUAUGCCGACAACCCUACAUAAUAGGCUUAUGUCGAAGGUAUCCCGGCUCGAUCUCUAAUGCUUAAGUCAGGAAAACAGAGAGGGAGGAAGACAACAAUAUUAAUAGUGUAAACGAGAGAGUAAAAAGUCUUUUUUACUUACUUAUCCCGACAUAGCCUAUGUAAUAUCCCUCACUUUUAAAAAUUUAUUAAUAAGGAUUUAUAUGUAAAUUAGAGGAUCUAUAUGUAAAUAUAGAAAUUUUAAGGACUAAACUGUAAGUUACAAAAAGAAAAAAAAUAAAGAAAACCGAAAAUUAAAAAUAAAGAGAGAGGAGCGGUGGGGCGUGGGGAGAAGAAAAAGAGAAGUAGAGGGAGAAGAUAAGAAGAGGGAAAAGAAGAGGAGGAAGAAGAGGGAGAAGAGAAGAAAAGAAGAAGAAGAAGAAGAAGAAGAGAGGGAAGAUGGAGAGGAGAGAGAGAGAGGCAGCAGCUGCAGCUAGGGCUGCAGCACCUCUGUUUCCUGCAGGUGGAAAUAGAGGAGAGGAUGUGUGGGGGCGUUGGGGAGGAGAAGGGAAGAGGAAGAAGAAGAAGAAGAAGAAGAAGAGAGGAGGAUAACUGUGGCAAGGCUGCAGCGAGGAGGGGUGUGGCGUUGGGGAGGAAAAGGGAAGAGGAGAAGAAGAGAAGGAGAAGAAGAGGGAAAAGAGAGGGAACAGGGAGAGGAGCGAGAGGCGGCAGCAGCUAGGGCUGCAGCACCUCUGUUUCCUGCAGGUGGAAACAGAGGAGAGGUGUGGGGCGUUCGAAGAGGAGAAGAAGAAGAAGAGGAAGAGAAGAGGAAGAGGAAGCAGAAGAAGAGGUUGUGAUACCUCUGUUUCCUGCAGAGGAAACAGAGGAGAGGGUGUGUGUGACGUCGGAGGGGAGGAAGGAGAAGAAGAGAAGAAGAAGAAAGGAAGGAGAAGGAAGAUGAGAAGAGAAAGAAGUAGCUGCGGCUGCGGCUGUGGCAGCUGCAGCUGUGGCAGGGAAAGAGGAAGAGAAAGGAAGAAGGGAAGAAGAGAGGAAGAGAAGAAGUAGAAGCGGAUGAAGAGGUGGCACCUCUGUUUCCUACAGGAGGAAACAGAGGAAAGGAGGUGCUGUUCAUCGGGGAGAAGAAGGGGAGGAAGGAGAAGAAGAGAAGAAGAAGAAAGAAAGGAGAAAGAAGAGGAGAAGGGAAAGAAGUAGCUGCGGCUGCGGCUGUGGCAGCUGCAGCUGUGGCAGCUGCAUCUGUGGCAGGGAAAGAGGAAGAGGAAGGAAGAAGGGAAGGAGAGGAAGAAGAGAAGGGGAAGAAGGGGCUGCGGCUGCGGCGAUGGCAGCUGCAGUUGGAAGAGAAGAAGGAGAGGAAGAUGAGCAGGGGAGGAAGAAGAGGCUGCAGCCAUGGCUGAGGCUGCGACUGCAGCAGUGCAGCUGGGAAAGAAGAGAAGGAAAGGAAGAAGAAGAGAAAGGAAAAGGGAAGAAGAGAGGAAGAGGAGAAGGGGAGGCAGCUGCGGCAGUGGCAGCCGCAGCUAGAAGAGAAGGAGAGGAAAUAGAGCAGGGAGGAAGAAGAGGCUGCGGCUGUGGUGGCUGCGGCCGUGGCUGCGACUGCGACUGCGGCAGUUGCAGUUGGGAAAGAAAAGAAAGGAAAGGGGAAAAAAAGGGGCUGUGGCCGUGAUUGCGGCUGCAUCUGCGGCAGCUGUGUUUGGGAAAGAAAAAGUAAGAACGAGAGAAUGGGGGAAGGAAGUAGUGCACUGGAAGGGGCUGCGGUUGUGACAGCAGCUACGGUCAUGGCUAUGACUGUAGUAGUGGCAGAGACGAUGGCUGCGACAACUACGUUUGAAAAAGAAACCGAAGGAAUGAGAGUAAGAGAGAGCAGGUGACUAUGCCUCUAUGUUCUGCAUGAGCUGCAGUUGUGGAGGAAAAAGAAAAGACAUGUAGAAAACGAAACAGAGAGAGGACACGGAGGAAAAGUAGAAGGAUUUGGGCUGGCACCUUCUUUGGAUCUUCGGAUCGAAAUCUUUGAAAGGUCAGCUUAUCACUCUUUGAGAUGUUUGAAUCGGGAUGAGGCAGUGGAGAGCUAUUCUGAAUUAUGGGCAAGUCUUGUUGGUUAUUAUGUUAUUGUUGUAUAAGCAUAUUUUGUAUGUAAUGAAAUGUUGUCGAUGAACCGAAAUGGAUAUACCUUGUAAAAGUGUUAGAAGAUCUCUCUUAUUUGAAAUUUCGGAAUGUUAAGUCUAGUUUAUGAUGAUA